GACGAUUGCUGGCGGCGUGCUUAACACAUGCAAGUCGAACGAUGAAGACCGGUGCUUGCACUGGUUGGAUUAGUGGCGAACGGGUGAGUAAUACGUGAGUAACCUGCCUUUGACUCUGGGAUAAGCCUUGGAAACGAGGUCUAAUACCGGAUAUGACACAGUUUCGCAUGAAAUCUGUGUGGAAAGGGUUUGUACUGGUUUUAGAUGGGCUCACGGCCUAUCAGCUUGUUGGUGAGGUAAUGGCUCACCAAGGCGACGACGGGUAGCCGGCCUGAGAGGGUGACCGGCCACACUGGGACUGAGACACGGCCCAGACUCCUACGGGAGGCAGCAGUGGGGAAUAUUGCACAAUGGGCGCAAGCCUGAUGCAGCGACGCCGCGUGAGGGAUGACGGCCUUCGGGUUGUAAACCUCUUUCAGCAGGGGAGAAGCGAAAGUGACGGUACCUGCAGAAGAAGCGCCGGCUAACUACGUGCCAGCAGCCGCGGUAAUACGUAGGGCGCGAGCGUUGUCCGGAAUUAUUGGGCGUAAAGAGCUUGUAGGCGGUUUGUCGCGUCUGCUGUGAAGCCCGGGGCUUAACUCCGGGUUUGCAGUGGGUACGGGCUAACUAGAGUGCAGUAGGGGAGACUGGAAUUCCUGGUGUAGCGGUGGAAUGCGCAGAUAUCAGGAGGAACACCGAUGGCGAAGGCAGGUCUCUGGGCUGUAACUGACGCUGAGAAGCGAAAGCAUGGGGAGCGAACAGGAUUAGAUACCCUGGUAGUCCAUGCCGUAAACGUUGGGCACUAGGUGUGGGGGACAUUCCACGUUUUCCGCGCCGUAGCUAACGCAUUAAGUGCCCCGCCUGGGGAGUACGGCCGCAAGGCUAAAACUCAAAGAAAUUGACGGGGGCCCGCACAAGCGGCGGAGCAUGCGGAUUAAUUCGAUGCAACGCGAAGAACCUUACCAAGGCUUGACAUAUACUGGACUCCCCUAGAGAUAGGGUUUCCCUUCGGGGCUGGUAUACAGGUGGUGCAUGGUUGUCGUCAGCUCGUGUCGUGAGAUGUUGGGUUAAGUCCCGCAACGAGCGCAACCCUCGUUCUAUGUUGCCAGCACGUGAUGGUGGGGACUCAUAGGAGACUGCCGGGGUCAACUCGGAGGAAGGUGGGGAUGACGUCAAAUCAUCAUGCCCCUUAUGUCUUGGGCUUCACGCAUGCUACAAUGGCCGGUACAAAGGGUUGCGAUACUGUGAGGUUGAGCUAAUCCCAAAAAGCCGGUCUCAGUUCGGAUUGGGGUCUGCAACUCGACCCCAUGAAGUCGGAGUCGCUAGUAAUCGCAGAUCGGCAACGCUGCGGUGAAUACGUUCCCGGGCCU
rnacentral:rRNA from 1 species